CCUACGGGAGGCAGCAGUGGGGAAUAUUGCACAAUGGGCGCAAGCCUGAUGCAGCCAUGCCGCGUGUAGUAUGAAGAAGGCCUUCGGGUUGUAAAGUACUUUCAGCGAGGAGGAAGGUGUUGAGGUUAAUAACCUCAGCAAUUGACGUUACUCGCGGAAGAAGCACCGGCUAACUCCGUGCCAGCAGCCGCGGUAAUACGGAGGGUGCAAGCGUUAAUCGGAAUUACUGGGCGUAAAGCGCACGCAGGCGGUCUGUCAAGUCGGAUGUGAAAUCCCCGGGCUCAACCUGGGAACUGCAUCCGAAACUGGCAGGCUAGAGUCUUGUAGAGGGGGGUAGAAUUCCAGGUGUAGCGGUGAAAUGCGUAGAGAUCUGGAGGAAUACCGGUGGCGAAGGCGGCCCCCUGGACAAAGACUGACGCUCAGGUGCGAAAGCGUGGGGAGCAAACAGGAUUAGAUACCNUGGUAGUCCACGCCGUAAACGAUGUCGACUUGGAGGUUGUGCCCUUGAGGCGUGGCUUCCGGAGCUAACGCGUUAAGUCGACCGCCUGGGGAGUACGGCCGCAAGGUUAAAACUCAAAUGAAUUGACGGGGGCCCGCACAAGCGGUGGAGCAUGUGGUUUAAUUCGAUGCAACGCGAAGA
rnacentral:rRNA from 1 species